rnacentral:rRNA from 1 species
UAACGGAGGCGCUCAAAGGUUCCCUCAGAAUGGUUGGAAAUCAUUCAUAGAGUGUAAAGGCAUAAGGGAGCUUGACUGCGAGACCUACAAGUCGAGCAGGGUCGAAAGACGGACUUAGUGAUCCGGUGGUUCCGCAUGGAAGGGCCAUCGCUCAACGGAUAAAAGCUACCCCGGGGAUAACAGGCUUAUCUCCCCCAAGAGUUCACAUCGACGGGGAGGUUUGGCACCUCGAUGUCGGCUCAUCGCAUCCUGGGGCUGUAGUCGGUCCCAAGGGUUGGGCUGUUCGCCCAUUAAAGCGGUACGCGAGCUGGGUUCAGAACGUCGUGAGACAGUUCGGUCCCUAUCCGUCGUGGGCGUAGGAAAUUUGAGAGGAGCUGUCCUUAGUACGAGAGGACCGGGAUGGACAUACCUCUGGUGUACCAGUUGUCGUGCCAACGGCAUAGCUGGGUAGCUAUGUGUGGACGGGAUAAGUGCUGAAAGCAUCUAAGCAUGAAGCCCCCCUCAAGAUGAGAUUUCCCAACUUCGGUUAUAAGAUCCCUCAAAGAUGAUGAGGUUAAUAGGUUCGAGGUGGAAGCAUGGUGACAUGUGGAGCUGACGAAUACUAAUCGAUCGAAGACUUAAUCAA